GGGCGCGGCAGUACGAGCGGGCGUGGAGCAGCACCAUCCCGAUCCUUCCGGUUCAUAGCAAAUGAUGAAUGGGAGUUGCACGCGGCUGCGUGACGUGUGCGCCCUUUGUUACGACGUGCACAGCCCCUUCUGAGCGCCGGAGGGUUCCUUUGCACCCAACAGCAGCUUUGUGCCAUUGUACCUUUUAAUUACGGGAGCAUAACAAUUAGCUCCGUUUGGGGUUCUGCUCACGAUUGGGGUUUCCCGUUUUCACGGUGUUUGGGAGUACUCAAACCCCGCUGUUGCACAGCCGUGCUGUUUCCUGCCCUGCCCCACGCACUCACAGUUCAGCCCGACUGACAAACAUCCGUUUAAUCUGUUUUACCCAAACCUGUACACUUCUCCCCCAAAAGGGGGGAGGCUGAGAGUCCGGAGCGAUGGGUACAGAGCACUGUGCGCCCUGAGGGGGGAGCAGCGCCCACAGCUGCGCCCCACACUCCCCCCAGGCGGUCCCUGCAGAGCACAAUGGGGCGGUGUACAAACAAACACCCCCCAAAGAAACAAAGCAACGCACCGCGAGCCAAAUCCCAGCUUGCAAACCCCAAAUCCUUCAGGAUUAAAGCUUUCGUUUUCCCCAUGAAAACCACCGGGGCCGCUCACACCAUCUCAUCCAGCAGAGUGCCGAUGCCGGCGUGGGGCUGGGCCGGACCUGCCAUGGGUUUGUUGCACAUGGGACACACGCAGCGCACCUCCAACCACUUCACCAGGCACUUUCGGUGGAAGGCAUGCUGGCAUGGCAGCACCCCCAGCUCCUCCUUCACCUUGAAGUCCUCCAGACAGACGGCACAGGUCUGCCCAUGCACAUUCAGCCUCCAGGCAUCGCCUUUCAAAACCACCUCCUUGUACCCGAAUCUCUCACUCUGCGCCUGGUGCCGCAGUUUGCUGAUGAAGUAGCAGCAGAAGAUGAGGCUGAGCACGAAGACAAAGAUACCGGUGCCGAAAAUGACCAUGUAGAUGUUGAGUGGAAGGUCCUGGAAUGUGAUGGGGGGCAUCGUGCAGGGUUUACUGGUGUAAAUCAGCCCCAGACUGCAGGAGCACCCGUGGCACCACUGGAACGGGGGCAUCCGGGAGCGGCUCCGCGGGGCCGGACCGGCUCCGCCGUGCGCAGCGCCGGGCCAUGGCCGGGAGCGGGGCCGGGCCGGCCGGCGGGGAGCG
rnacentral:lncRNA from 1 species